rnacentral:rRNA from 1 species
AUUGAACGCUGGCGGCAGGCCUAACACAUGCAAGUCGAGCGAGCGGCGGACGGGUGAGUAAUGUCUGGGAAACUGCCUGAUGGAGGGGGAUAACUACUGGAAACGGUAGCUAAUACCGCAUACCAUCAGAUGUGCCCAGAUGGGAUUAGCUAAUAGGUGGGGUAAUGGCUCACCUAGGCGACGAUCCCUAGCUGGUCUGAGAGGAUGACCAGCCACACUGAAACUGAGUCACAGUCCAGAAUCCUACGGGAGAAAGCGGUGGGGAAUAUUGCACAAUGGGCGCAAGCGUGGUGCCACCGUGCCGCGUGUGUGAAGAAGGCCAUCGGGUUGUAAAGCACUUUCAGCGAGGAGGGGUUACUCGCAGAAGGAGCACCGGCAAGCUCCAUACCAGCAGCCGCGGUAAUUC